GGGGUCUUUUCAUCAGGUUCCCCCAUUCAGUUUCUCCUCCUAAAAAUCCUGAAUGCAAGGGCCGUUUGAGACUGGAAGUCAGAGAAGGAAAAAUGAAGAGGCUUUCAGGAGUCUCAAUUUCCCAUGAACUUACCCUAUUCUGCUUAUCAGAACACCCUGGCUCAUCCCAUUCUACCUGAAGAUUUCGCCAUUUGGAACUGGGCCAUCUCAGUGGAUCUAAGUCACUAAUACCAACUAUGGUACCCAUAUAUCUGCGUUUGCCUGACUCCUCUGUUUCAAACAUCAUUCCAAACCUCAUACCAACUGAAACUUGAGUCCCAUACACAGCUUUUCGGUAUUUAGCUAAAGGAAUGACAAACUCCGAGGGGCAUGCCCUUGGAUUGUAAAAAAUGGUGAAUGGGCUCCGAUUGGCAGCAGCAUGAGC
rnacentral:misc_RNA from 1 species